rnacentral:rRNA from 1 species
GUCUACAACCAUGCCACCCUGAACAAGCCCAAUCCUGUUUGAUCUCGGAAGCUAAGCAGGAUCGUGCCUAGUUAGUACUUGGAUGGGAGACCACCUAGAAAGACCAGGUGCUAUAGGUU